CAUUCGUCAAUAAAUCAAUCUACAAUCCUGCUGUUUCUGCCUCUGGAAAUAUAACAUGGAUGGUGUGAAGAGAGGAGCAACACCCACACAGUUCAAUCUGUUUGGAGGGGGUUAUCAACACCACAUUACUUUACAAUAGAGAUAGUGGAAAGAUCCUGUGGCAUCAUUUUCUCAAAACACAGGGAUCAAAUCAACUCAGCAGGCAGAUUUUUUCUCUCUCCAGAUUUGUAUUUCUAAUUUCAGUAGGCAGCAUAUACAGUGCAUGGGUGUCUGAAUGAAUAAAAAACUAUUCAUCAUGGCACAGUAGAUUCCCGAAAGUAAAAAAAAAAAAAAUCAGAUCUGAAAAGGUUUACAUCAUCCUUUUGUGAGAAAUACCCCAAAAUGCCGGUCAGUGCCAUUGCCAUGCUAGGGCGGAUUCAGCAGGGUCGCCUCUAGGACCCAGCAGUGCAGCCGGUCAGGUAGGCUCAGCUCGUAGACUAGAGAGAGGCAGACAAAGGCAGAGAGAGCUCGUGCCGCUAUCCUGCAGCAUCCACACCCACCCACCUCACUCCAAACGCUCCAGCGCGGGUGAGCAGAUGGGCUCCCAGCCCCUGUCUGUCGGGAGGAGUACCACUACCCAUAACCCAUCCCUCCCUGGUCUGGGACCUACCCCCAUCUCAGGACCUGUCAUAAAAGCUCAGCCAGACUCAGGGCCAGGGUGUGCGGGGGAGGGGAGAUCCCAG
rnacentral:lncRNA from 1 species